rnacentral:rRNA from 1 species
UACGGGGGGGGGCAAGCGUUGUCCGGAAUUAUUGGGCGUAAAGAGCUCGUAGGCGGUUUGUCGCGUCUGCUGUGAAAACGCGAGGCUCAACCUCGCGCCUGCAGUGGGUACGGGCAGACUAGAGUGUGGUAGGGGAGAUUGGAAUUCCUGGUGUAGCGGUGGAAUGCGCAGAUAUCAGGAGGAACACCGAUGGCGAAGGCAGAUCUCUGGGCCAUUACUGACGCUGAGGAGCGAAAGCGUGGGGAGCGAACAGG